AACGAACGCUGGCGGCUGGCUUAACACAUGCAAGUCGAGCGCCCCGCAAGGGGAGCGGCAGACGGGUGAGUAACACGUGGGAAUCUACCCAUCCCUGCGGAACAACUCCGGGAAACUGGAGCUAAUACCGCAUACGCCCUUCGGGGGAAAGAUUUAUCGGGGAUGGAUGAGCCCGCGUUGGAUUAGCUAGUUGGUGGGGU
rnacentral:rRNA from 1 species